rnacentral:lncRNA from 1 species
GAUAUAAUUAUUAUUAGUUGUGUAUAGUAUUAUUGUUUUGAUUUAUUAAAAGGCGAGAUUCUUUGUGGGUCAAUAUGCCUGGUAAAUUGGAUAAUAAUAAUGUACAUUGGCGAAGUAAUAGUUAGUUGAUGGAAUCCAUGUCUCGGUUUAGAUAUUGAUGAUACACCUUUAUGAAAGCUUAUAAGUUUUCAUGUGUAAAACCAGCCGAUGGAUUUUGUAUCCAACACAUGAAAUAAGUUAAGCGAAAGUCU